rnacentral:rRNA from 1 species
UACGUAGGGUGCGAGCGUUGUCCGGAAUUAUUGGGCGUAAAGAGCUUGUAGGCGGUCUGUCGCGUCUGCUGUGAAAAUCCGGGGCUCAACCCCGGACUUGCAGUGGGUACGGGCAGACUAGAGUGUGGUAGGGGAGACUGGAAUUCCUGGUGUAGCGGUGAAAUGCGCAGAUAUCAGGAGGAACACCGAUGGCGAAGGCAGGUCUCUGGGCCACUACUGACGCUGAGGCACGAAAGCGUGGGGAGCAAACAGG